ACGAUGGAUACUCGCUGCGGGCUAAAGAUUGUCCGUGGCUUAGCGAAAGCGAUAAGUAUCCCACCUGGGGAGUACGCCGGCAACGGUGAAACUCAAAGGAAUUGACGGGGGCCCGCACAAGUGGUGGAGCAUGUGGUUUAAUUCGAUGAUACGCGAGGAACCUUACCUAGGCUAGAAUGCGCGUGACCGGCUCAGAGAUGAGCCUUUCCUUCGGGACACAAAGCAAGGUGCUGCAUGGCCGUCGUCAGCUCGUGCCGUGAGGUGUUGGGUUAAGUCCCGCAACGAGCGCAACCCCUAUGGUUAGUUGCCAGCACGUAAUGGUGGGGACUCUAGCCAGACUGCCUGCGCAAGCAGUGAGGAAGGCGGGGACGACGUCAGGUCAUCAUGGCCCUUACGCCUAGGGCGACACACGUGCUACAAUGGACGGUACAGCGGGUAGCUACCAGGCGACUGGAUGCCAAUCUCGAAAAGCCGUUCUCAGUUCGGAUUGGAGUCUGCAACUCGACUCCAUGAAGCUGGAAUCACUAGUAAUCGCGCAUCAGCCAUGGCGCGGUGAAUACGUUCCCGGGCCUUGUACACACCGCCCGUCAAGCCAUGAAAGUCUGGUAGACCUGAAGCUGGUGCUCGUCACAGAAGCCAGUUAGGGUAGAACAGGUAAUUAGGGCUAAGUCGUAAGCAAGGUAACCAAGGGCGAA
rnacentral:rRNA from 1 species